GGACGAACUUUCUUCACAUCCUUUUGCUAAAAACUGUAGACAGAAAUAACGCUACCAAUGGCUUCAGUGGUGCAAACUGUACUUGAACAGACAUCAAUUCCAGACGGUAGCAAAAAGGUGGCGUGUUUACUUCAACCUCAAGACGAACGAGAACUGAUUGACGAAAGCACAUUGAGUGAAUCAUCUACUAAUGCCAGCCAUUGUGUAGGUA